UGAUCUCAGCUUUGUUCUUAAUCUCC
rnacentral:piRNA from 1 species